AGUUUUUAUCGGUCUCCUGCGACAACACGUCGCUGUUCGCAUCUUUAAAUCCAACGGACGGAAACAGGAAGUGAUGUCAGACGGAAAAAGGCGAAAUGGGCCUGUUUGUUUCCAGUGUGGCGGUUUCCGUUCUCCCGUGUUUUGUGUCUCAGUCUUCUCGCCUGGGGGUGAAGGCAGAGAGACUGUGAUUGGUUGGCCUCACAUUGCAGAGGUGUGAUUGGCUGACUGCGCUCAACCACAGCAUUUUGGUUGGUUUGGAAAUAAUUUCUCAGGACGCUCGUUCGACCCGUCGGGCCGGGUAGUUUGGAUCUCCAGCUGUUCCCCAGCAGCUGCCGCCUCCAUGAGAACCGAUGCAAGUUCCUGUGAGGCAGGACGGCGCAUCAACGCUUCCAAAAAUGCCCCAAAACCCUGAACUUCCUGUCGUCUGCUGACAUCACCGGCUGUUCAGGGCCUCGGCCAGCUGAUCUGACUCUACAGUACAUGACUGCACACGGAAACACCUGGCCAGGUUAUUUCAUCAGAGUUAGCUUGUGCUGCUAGCACUGACCUGGCUAACACCUCCCUCAGAGCUGUGAGGGAGGUUCUGGUCUCCGAGUCCUUGGAGCUCGAUGCUAAAGAGAGCGAGUCACGUGACUCCUUCCUCCAGCUUGUCCUGAGCAGGUGUGUGAAGAUGGCCGCCUCCUUUUUGGUAUUUUGGCCUGUGCCAAAGAAACGGCCGAGGUCAGAGACACGAGUUCCCUCACAGUCCUCUGUCUCUGCCAUCGAAGUUUUUAAAUAGUGACGAGCAGAAAGGAGUUCUGGGUGUUUAUCCUCAGGACAGCCCUGUGAGUGUAGGACUGAACGCUCGCUGUGCUGACUGUGACGGCGAGCAGAGCUGUGAUCCCAGCGAAUCUUCGUUUAAACAUGACUAAGGCGGGAAAAGAGCAGAGCUGCUAACGAAUCGAUCAGACACGCCGUGAACGAGCGAGGUACUGUCACUGGUCUUGGGACCCGCCCCCUCUGUCGACUUUGCUGCCAAUCGACGGGCGCAUUACUUAAACGUCUGAUUUUUUUUUCUGGGGGGGGGGAGGGGGUGAUCGUCAUGGCAACAGUGACCCGUACUCAGGGUAAGCUAGCCCUGCUUUACAUGGCAGUUAGGAUUAGGAAAGCUAGCUGUGCGUUAUCAGGCUGUUGACCUGCACAGCAAACCGCCUCGCCGUGUCAGCUGUGAUCUGAUUGGCUAACAGCUCUGCUGCCACUUUACGCUGAAGUAAAACAGCCGACCCAGAAUGCACGGUUCCAAAUGUUACAACAUCUGGAGCUGCAGCUGGAGUCCUACACUCACUGAAAGUCAUGAGCACCGUUCACUUCCUGUGGCAUGGGCCGACAGAGGCGGUCAGCUCCACCUACGCCAUCUGCUCCACCUGUGGGAGGAGCGAGCUGUGAGUCUCUAAACAGGAAGAGAAGCGACUGAUCUUCAUCGGCGUGACUGUAGGAGGAGCAGUUUAACAUGUAUAAAUACACGUGUACAUACAUAUAUGAACAGGAAGGAGGAAGUGACAUCUAACAAAAUAAAAGCCUCUUCCUGGUUCCGGUCCUUCCUUCAGUAGAGGCGACUGAUGGAGGUUCCUGGUUUUACUGUGGUGCUUUAUAAAGAGAACCUCCACCUGCUCCGUCUGCCUGGAGACUGACAGGAAAUGACCUGUGUGUGUGUGUGUGUGUGUGUGUGUGUGUGUGUGUGUGUGUGUGUGUGUGUGUGUGUGUCGUCGCUGUAUGAAUGUAUCUGAGCCGGUGACUCAGGCUCACACUCCAAUAAACUGUAGAAAAUGAAACUUUUUGUAAAUGAAACAAUAAAAAUGUGACAGUAUU
ensembl:lncRNA